CAGAGUUGAUCACACUUAACAAUAUGUGCAGGCAGGACCGAAAAAAGGUGUGGUGCCUUCCAGCCCAUAAAUCAAAGUUUUCUCUUGCCGCUGCCAUGUAAGAAGUGCCUUUUGCUUCCUGCCAUGAUUCUGAGGCCUCCCAGCCAUGUGGAACUAUGACACCUUGCUAUGUUGCCCAGGGUGGUCUCUAACUCCUGGCAUUUAGCGAUUCUCCCGCCUUGGCCUCCUAAAGCACUGGGGUUACAGGCAUGAACCACUGUGCCUAGCCUGCAUGAUGUAAUCUCCAAAUUGAGGGCAGGAGAGAGAGUGGUCUCACAACGGAAAGGCACCAGCCACUGAGAAGUCUUAAGGCUGUGUUUGAGUUCUGGCUCAUCUUUUUUGCUAAUUUGCCCUUGUGCAUAUCACCCAACCUCGCUAAGCCAGUUUCAUCAUCAGCGAGAACAGCACACUGACAUGCAGGGCCAGCUCAGGCGCUACCACGAGCUACACAUCCGUCCAUUCGUUUAAUCUUCAUAGCAGCCCUGGAGGAAACACAGCACAUUCACAAACAUCUGAAGCCAACUGCAAGGCACCUGUCACUCAGCGAGAAAAGCAGAGAGGUGCCAAUUCAGAUGGCUGAGCUAAUUCGCCUGGGUCCUGACCUGUGUCACCACAGGGUCGCAGAAAUGGAACCUUCUCCGUCACACCUCCUGAUGGCAGUCAGCUGUGACCCGCUGAAUCCAGGACAUCAUGCAUUCCAGUUUCAUUUGCGAGAACAUUUCCAGGUCCGGCUGAAGCCUAGUGGCGCCAGCAGAGGUCUCAACCCCUUUGGGAUGCUCAGUGGGAGACAGAAUCAAGGGCCAAUGAUCCGUGACCUAGUCCUAGUGCCCAUGUCAGUUUGUCAAAGGCCCUCAGAGCAGAUUGUGUUUUCCCUGGUGGGGGCUUGACUUCUUUGCUUUAAAAAGGAUUCUUAAGUAUUUAUUGCAGUAAAAUUAAGCACUUUCAAAUUUCUGCCAGAUCCCCUGGAGGUAUAUAGCUUAUUAACACAAAACAAAUGUGACACUUGAAAGGCAGGAGACUUGGUUUCUAUUCUCUGGCCCACUACUGACUUAUUGGGUGGCUUCAGGCAAAUAACUGAAAUCAAGAAGACACCAUUUUCAACAAGCACAGAGUGGACACCUGGCAGGUGAGCAGUGCCCUGUGAGGUCUGGGGCUGGGUUCGGUGGUGAAACUAGGUCAGCACACACAGCCCUUUGCUGGGGGCCCACUGCCUGGGGUAGGAUUUUUGUAGCUGGGUUCAAGGUGGACAUGCUGAAAUGUGACCCUAAAAUGUUUGUACUCUUGAAGCUGAAGGAGUGGGAAGAAACCUGUCAUUUAAAGAAGGACAAUAUGGCCAGGUGUGGUGGCUUACACCUGUAAUCUCAGCACUUUGGGAGGCCGAGGUGGGAGGAUCACUUGAGUCCAGGAGUUUGAGACUAGCCUGGGUAACAUAGGGAGACCACAUCUCUACAAACAUUUAAAAAUUAGCCAGGCAUGGUGGAAUGUGCCUGUAGUCCCAGCUACUCAGGAAGUUGAGGCAGGAGGAUCACUUGAGCCCAGGAGGUCAAGGCUACAGUGAGCUAUUGUCAUGCCACU
rnacentral:lncRNA from 1 species